GGGAGCGGCGGCAGCGAGCGGUCCGUCUCGCACGCGCGGGCACCGCGCUGGUCCUGGGCUGCAGGUUUCCCAGAUGAUGGCAUCCGAGAACUUAAACAAAGGGGGCUGCCGCCGGCGCGCAACGGCUGCGGAAAGUUGCGGUGGCGGAUUUCCAAGGAGCGUGGCCACGACCAGAGCUCUUGGCGAUGCGAGCCCCCGCUUCCCACCCCCGCCGAUCAGAGAAGGGGGCCGGCUGGUGAAGGGAAGAGGAAACUUUGAAACCACUGGGGACACAUCUGUCUAUAGACCUAUUGCGAACGCCCAGAGCCGCCGAGGGAACGCCAACGUCUGGGCCGGACACUAAGAUUCUGGAGAUUUGGAAGUCCAAGAUCAAGGUGCUGCCGGAUUUGGUUCUUGUCUGGGUUCAUAGAAGAUUGUCCUCACCAUAGGCAUGGGCAAAGACU
rnacentral:lncRNA from 10 species